CCGAGGGGUGGGGGGCGGGCAAGGAGGGGGAGAGCCAGUUGGAGCCCAUUGGUGCCAGCUCUACGGUGCUGCCUGGCCAAGGGCACAUGCCCGCGUAUUUCUGAACGAUCUCGCAGGGUCCUUGGGGAACCUCCGAAACCCAUCCCGUGCCCCUCCUCGAGAAAGGAGCAUGCGGGUUCUGAGCCCCUUCUGGGUUCUAAUUCCAGCGGCGUGACCCCGGGCAACUGCCUUUUCCUCUCCGAGCCUCGGUUUCCGCCUCUGGAAAAUGGGCGCCUGAUAAGAAAACCCUGCCUCGGGGCGGUUGCUGGCGGGGAUGAAAGGCGAUGAUGUUUAGGGGGCGCUUAGGGCAGGACAGGGUGGGGGAGCCUCCAUGGCCGUGGAUACUGACUGUUCCCAACCCCACCUGCAGUACAGUACCGUCUAUGAAAGCAGAUGGAUCAACGGAACCAAGGUGAAGGUGCCUGUUGGGGAUGAGGUAGAUAGUAUGAACAUCCUGGGCCUGGUGGUAUUUGCCAUUAUCUUUGGCGUGGCCCUGCAGAAGCUGGGGCCCGAGGGAGAGCUGCUUAUCCGCUUCUUCAACUCCUUCAAUGACGCCACCAUGGUGCUGGUCUCCUGGAUCAUGUGGUAUGCCCCCGUGGGCAUCUUGUUCCUGGUGGCUGGCAAGAUCGUGGCAGUGGAGGACGUGGGGCUGCUCUUCACCAGUCUCGGCAAAUACAUCCUGUGCUGCCUGCUGGGCCACGCCAUCCACGGGCUCCUGGUGCUGCCCCUCAUCUACUUCCUCUUCACCCGCAAAAACCCCUACCGCUUCCUGUGGGGUAUCGUGACACCGUUGGCCACUGCCUUCGGGACCUCGUCUAGCUCGGCCACGCUGCCGCUGAUGAUGAAGUGCGUGGAGGAGAGGAAUGGUGUCGCCAAGCACAUCAGCCGCUUCAUCCUACCCAUCGGUGCCACCGUCAACAUGGAUGGGGCGGCGCUCUUCCAGUGUGUGGCCGCAGUGUUCAUCGCACAGCUCAACCAGCAACCCCUGGACUUUGUGAAGAUCAUCACCAUCCUGGUCACCGCCACAGCGUCCAGCGUGGGGGCCGCGGGCAUUCCGGCUGGAGGUGUCCUCACUCUGGCCAUCAUCCUGGAGGCAGUCAACCUGCCAGUUCACGACAUCUCCUUGAUCCUGGCUGUGGACUGGCUAGUGGACCGGUCCUGCACAGUCCUCAAUGUGGAAGGUGAUGCCUUUGGGGCGGGACUCCUCCAAAAUUACAUGGAUCGUACAGAGAUGCGGAGUUCAGUGCCAGAGUUGAUCCAAGUGAAGAGUGAGAUGCCCCUGGCUCCACUGCCCGCCCCCACUGAGGAGGGGAACCCCCUCCUCAAACACCGCCUGGGAUCUGCUGGGGAUACAGACUCCUGUGAGAAGGAGUCGGUUAUGUAAACCCCAUGGGGACUUUCCCUGCGCUGAUGGGGGCACUCUGGACAUUGGGAUUGUGAGCCGGGAUUCUGGAGGCCCUUCCUGCUGCACACUUAAGGGAUCCAGGGUCCCAGCCUCUCUCCCUGACAUCAGAUCUGGGAGGCCUCGAUGCUGGGGUAUAGGCGUCUGUGUGUGUGUGUGUGUGUGUGUGUGUGUGUGUGUGUUUUGCGGCCCCAUGGUACAUCCCACCCUGUCCUCAGGCCCUCUGUUCCCUCCGCUGUAACAAAAACUCCUGGGGACCCUGCCAGGGUGGGGGAGACUGAGGACAAAUACUGCUGUCACUCCAAAGGACAUUCUGUAGCAAUAAAACUAUCAAGUG